UUUGUAUAAUGGGUCAGCGACUUAUAUUCAGUGGCAAGGUUAACCAUCUAGGGGAGCCGUAGGGAAACCGAGUCUUAACUGGGCGUUCAGUCUCUGGAUAUAGACCCGAAACCAGGUGAUCUAGCCAUGGGCAGGUUGAAGGUUGAGUAACAUCAACUGGAGGACCGAACCGACUAAUGUUGAAAAAUUAGCGGAUGACUUGUGGCUAGGGGUGAAAGGCCAAUCAAACCUGGAGAUAGCUGGUUCUCCCCGAAAGCUAUUUAGGUAGCGCCUCGGACGAAUACUACUGGGGGUAGAGCACUGUUAAGGCUAGGGGGUCAUCCCGACUUACCAACCCUUUGCAAACUCCGAAUACCAGUAAGUACUAUCCGGGAGACACACGGCGGGUGCUAACGUCCGUCGUGGAGAGGGAAACAACCCAGACCGCCAGCUAAGGUCCCAAAUUACUACUAAGUGGGAAACGAUGUGGGAAGGCUCAGACAGCCAGGAUGUUGGCUUAGAAGCAGCCAUCAUUUAAAGAAAGCGUAAUAGCUCACUGGUCGAGUCGGCCUGCGCGGAAGAUGUAACGGGGCUAAGUAGUAAACCGAAGCUGCGGCAAUAUACUUUUGUAUAUUGGGUAGGGGAGCGUUCUGUAAGCGGUUGAAGGUGUGUGGUAACGCAUGCUGGACGUAUCAGAAGUGCGAAUGCUGACAUGAGUAACGAUAAAGGGGGUGAAAAACCUCCUCGCCGGAAGACCAAGGGUUCCUGUCCAACGUUAAUCGGGGCAGGGUAAGUCGACCCCUAAGGCGAGGCCGAAAGGCGUAGUCGAUGGGAAACGGGUUAAUAUUCCCGUACUUCUUACAAUUGCGAUGGGGGGACGGAGAAGGCUAGGUGGGCCUGGCGACGGUUGUCCAGGUUCAAGUGCGUAGGCUGAAGAGUUAGGUAAAUCCGGCUCUUUUUAAGGCUGAGACACGACGUCGAGCUACUACGGUAGUGAAGUCAUUGAUGCCAUGCUUCCAGGAAAAGCCUCUAAGCUUCAGAUUGUAAGGAAUCGUACCCCAAACCGACACAGGUGGUCGGGUAGAGAAUACCAAGGCGCUUGAGAGAACUCGGGUGAAGGAACUAGGCAAAAUGGUACCGUAACUUCGGGAGAAGGUACGCUCUCGACGGUGAAGUCCCUCGCGGAUGGAGCUAUUGAGAGUCGCAGAUACCAGGUGGCUGCAACUGUUUAUUAAAAACACAGCACUGUGCAAAAUCGCAAGAUGACGUAUACGGUGUGACGCCUGCCCGGUGCCGGAAGGUUAAUUGAUGGGGUUAGACUUCGGUCGAAGCUCUUGAUCGAAGCCCCGGUAAACGGCGGCCGUAACUAUAACGGUCCUAAGGUAGCGAAAUUCCUUGUCGGGUAAGUUCCGACCUGCACGAAUGGCGUAAUGAUGGCCACGCUGUCUCCACCCGAGACUCAGUGAAAUUGAAAUCGCUGUGAAGAUGCAGUGUACCCGCGGCUAGACGGAAAGACCCCGUGAACCUUUACUACAGCUUGGCACUGAACAUUGACCCUACAUGUGUAGGAUAGGUGGGAGGCUUUGAAGCGCAGUCGCUAGAUUGCGUGGAGCCGUCCUUGAAAUACCACCCUUGUAGUGUUGAUGUUCUAACGUUGACCCCUUAUCGGGGUUG
rnacentral:rRNA from 1 species